rnacentral:rRNA from 1 species
ACGGGAGGCAGCAGUGGGGAAUAUUGCACAAUGGGGGAAACCCUGAUGCAGCGACGCCGCGUGAGUGAAGAAGUAUUUCGGUAUGUAAAGCUCUAUCAGCAGGAAAGAAAAUGACGGUACCUGACUAAGAAGCCCCGGCUAACUACGUGCCAGCAGCCGCGGUAAUACGUAGGGGGCAAGCGUUAUCCGGAUUUACUGGGUGUAAAGGGAGCGUAGACGGUAAGGCAAGUCUGAAGUGAAAUGCCAGGGCUCAACCCUGGAACUGCUUUGGAAACUGUCCUACUAGAGUGCAGGAGAGGUAAGUGGAAUUCCUAGUGUAGCGGUGAAAUGCGUAGAUAUUAGGAGGAACACCAGUGGCGAAGGCGGCUUACUGGACUGUAACUGACGUUGAGGCUCGAAAGCGUGGGGAGCAAUCAGGAUUAGAUACCCUGGUA